UUACUGUUAUUCUUUGCUUAUGGAAACAGAAAGAGAGAAAUCAAAACGGGAGGUGAGGCAGUCAUCACAGACAUCUCCAUGCAGUCGGUCACGGGAGAGAAGAGCACAGUGCAGGUCUUCCAGUGAGGACAAUACGUGUUCUCUUAUUCAAGGAUCCUAGGG